GGAUGAACGCUAGCUACAGGCGUUAACACAUGCAAGUCGAGGGCGAGCACAGCGUAGCAAUACACGGGUGGCGACCGGCGCACGGUGCGUAACGACGUAUCCAACCUUCCCGUUACUCAGGAGUAGCCUUCCGAAAGGGAGAUUAAUACCUGAUGGUGUUCAAAUUCCGCAUGUUAUUUGAACUAAAGAUUUAUCGGUAACGGAUGGGGAUGCGUGACAUUAGGUAGAUGGCGGGGUAACGGCCCACCAUGCCUACGAUGUCUAGGGGUUCUGAGAGGAAGGUCCCCCACACUGGAACUGAGACACGGUCCAGACUCCUACGGGAGGCAGCAGUGAGGAAUAUUGGUCAAUGGUCGGAAGACUGAACCAGCCAAGUAGCGUGAAGGAUGAAGGUUCUAUGGAUUGUAAACUUCUUUAUACGGGAAUAAAACCUCCUACGUGUAGGAGCUUGUAUGUACCGUAUGAAUAAGCAUCGGCUAACUCCGUG
rnacentral:rRNA from 1 species